CUACAUUCAGAUCUGAAGAUGUCAGACUCUGACGAUGAGAUUGUUAAAAAGGGCCUUGAGUUUGGUACCGGGAAACCAACCGACACCACUGACCGGCCUGGUAAAGCUUCUGCCAAA